AUAUAUCUCACCUUCUUUCUAACCUUUUCUUAUGUGCUUUUAGGGCCCACCCUGGUCAUUACAGAAUAUUGUUGCUAUGGUGAUCUUUUGAAUUUUUUGAGAAGAAAACGUGAUUCAUUUAUUUGUUCAAAGCAGGAAGAUCAUGCAGAAGCUGCACUUUAUAAGAAUCUUCUGCAUUCAAAGGAGUCUUCCUGCAGCGAUAGUACUAAUGAGUACAUGGACAUGAAACCUGGAGUUUCUUAUGUUGUCCCAACCAAGGCCGACAAAAGGAGAUCUGCGAGAAUAGGCUCAUACAUAGAAAGAGAUGUGACUCCCGCCAUCAUGGAGGAUGACGAGUUGGCCCUAGACUUAGAAGACUUGCUGAGCUUUUCUUACCAGGUGGCAAAGGGCAUGGCUUUCCUCGCCUCCAAGAAUUGUAUUCACAGAGACUUGGCAGCCAGAAAUAUCCUCCUUACUCAUGGUCGGAUCACAAAGAUUUGUGAUUUUGGUCUAGCCAGAGACAUCAAGAAUGAUUCUAAUUAUGUGGUUAAAGGAAACGUGAGUACCCAUUCUCUGCUUGACAGUCCUGCAAAGAUUUUUAGUUUCAACUUUCGAUAAAAAUUGUUUCCUGUGAUUUUCAUAAUGUAAAUCCUGUCUAGGGAUAUCACACAUUUUAGCAGUCAAAUUAAGUGUACUUCGGCAAAAUUUGCAUGGUAUGCUGAACAUUACUACAACUAACAUUCAAUAAUAGAAGUCCUAAUUCUAA
rnacentral:sRNA from 1 species